AUGCUGCUGCAGCACCUGGACACCAUCAAGGACACUGACGCUUCCUUAGAGGAAAAUGGCCAGGGAAAGCAGAAGAGUCCAGAAGAACAGACUGAUGAUGACACACAGGACAUCUCUUCAGUGGACUUAGAAGGCUCUUGGUGCUUGUUGGAUCGGAGUUAUCAACAGUCUUCUGGGAGACGUGGAGUCAGUUCUCUGCUUCUAUUACAGGAUAAAUGGGAACAGAUUGUUGGACAGGAUUCCACCCUGGAGAUCGUUCAACACAACACCUUGAUGACGUUGGACACCAUCAUGAAGUGUGCCUUCAGCCAAGAGGGCAGUGUCCAGUUGGACAGAAAAUACAAGUCCUACAUCAAGGCAGUUGGGGACCUGAACAAUCUCUCUUUUUUCCGUAUAUGGAACAUCUUUCACCAGAAUGACAUCAUCUAUAGUCUGUCCUCUAAUGGCUGCCAGGCCAACAGAAUGGUGCUUUCAUCUCUGCCUGGUAUCUACUAUGCUUUCACAGACCAAGUGAUCAAAUCAAGGAAGGCUCAACUUCAGGAUGAGGAAGAGUUGCAAAAGGUUAAGCAGAAAAGACGAUUGGAUUUCCUGGACAUCCUUCUGUUUGCCAGAAUAGAAAAUGGAAGCAGCUUAUCUGAUAAGGACCUGCGUGCUGAAGUGGAUACCUUCAUGUUCGAGGGCCAUGACACCACAGCUAGCGGUAUCUCUUGGAUCUUCUAUGCUUUGGCCACAAAUCCUGAACACCAGCAGGGAUGCAGGAAGGAGAUCCAGAGUCUCCUAGGAGAUGGAGCUUCUAUCACCUGGGACGACCUGGACAAGAUGCCCUAUACCACCAUGUGCAUCAAGGAGGCUCUGAGUAUCUACCCACCUGUACCAUCUGUGAGCAGAAUGCUCAGCACACCUGUCACCUUCCCGGAUGGAUGCUCUUUACCCAAAAGUAUCACAGCCGUGCUCUCCUUUUAUGGCCAUCAUCACAACCCAACUUUGUGACCAAACCCAGAGUGUUUGACCCUUAUCGGGUCUUCCCAACACAGCCACUUGUUCCUGCCCUUCUCAGGAGGAGCAAGGAACUGCAUUGGGAAACAGUUUGCCAUGAAUGAACUGAAGGUGGCCAUAGCCCUGACCCUGCUCUGUUUGAGGCUGCUGCCAGAUCCCACCAGGAUCCCAAUCCCCAUACCAAGACUUGUGUUGAAGUCCAAGAAUGGGAUCUACCUGCAUCUCAAAAAGCUCCAAUAAUCUUGACAGCACAAGACAGCUCCAACAGCAUGCUGUCUGCCAUUUGUCUUUCUGUCACUCACUCUUGUCCCCACUCCAUCUGCUCACAUCUCAUUCUUUCUUCUCACCUUGUUCACCACCACCCACCUUCUGCUGUGUUUCCGGUCUCCUUGUCUGUCAGUCUUUCUAUCUCAACUUCUGGAAUUUCUACCUGCUUUUCUCUCUACCUGGCCCCUACCUGACUUCAUGUUUGACCUUUGACCUUAAUGAUCUCCCUAAAUUACACCCUGCCUACUCUUCUGCAUAUUUCCUUCCAUUCUAUUUUUUUGUCUAUGCUUAAAUUGAGCUUUAUACCAAUGUCAUAAUUAAUUAAAAUAGAAGUAUGUGCCCUACGGUUGUAUAUAUCAGGUGUUUUUCAUGAUUUCAUUAGAAUUAAGCUAAGGUCAUUGCAGUACCAUUACCCUUGGUUAUUUCUGUGCCUCUUUUACCUUUUCCAUCACCUAUAGCUGCAUUCCUAGGUUGCAAGAGCCCUUCUAAGCCUUAAAAUCCAACACUGUCUUUAAGCAUCUCUUAUUCUGUCUCUAGGUCAUCUCUCCAUCUUGUCAAUAUGUAUGUUUAUUUUGUGCCUAAAGUGGUAAUACUGGUCAUAUUCUUGGUUCUGUCAAGAUUACGAUAUGCAUAUCUGAAAGAGCCAUUGUUCCAGCAACCUAACACAGUCCUUCUCUGACUGUCACCUCAUCUAUCCAUAUAAAUCUCACCUUCAAAUU